rnacentral:lncRNA from 1 species
UUGAAAUCAUGCUAUUCUUUAACCAAGGCCCCAUCACUAAUCGCUUGGAGGAAGACCGCAUGUGCAAGUGGUUCUAUAUGUGAAGUCAAGCAAAAAAUGAGAUUUGUUAACAAGAGUACCAUUUAGAUGUCCACUUCAAGCUACAGUUUUGUGACUGGGAGAGGCUUUUUUCUUGAAAAAGCAAAUGCGGUGGAAUCAGCAAUAAUCUGUCAAUUGCAGACAAGAGUUUCAAAGAAAAGGUUUUCAAGAAGACAGUAGUUUCUCAUUUGGAAGAAUUUAGAACAAAAAUACAGGCGUUCAUUAGUGUAAAAUGAUCUCUCUAGGCUGGUUACGUCGGAAAAUUCAUAUGUAGGCAUUUUGCAAUCACUUUGGUCUUAUUAUCUCAAACUUGAUCUAUUUAAGCAUGAAUCUAAAAGCAGAAGAGACACAGCCAUGUACAUUUUCAUACCUAAAACAAGUAGAGAGACCAGUUCAUUCUUGAAGAGCAGCAUUACUUUUCCCCUUCCAGAUUCACUCAGGUGGAUGCAUGGAGCUCACGCCGCUUGGCAAAUUCUCGAUCAAGUACUGGGUUCUGGAGUGGAGUAUUGAGUUGUUUUAUGCAAAUUCUCGAUCAAAGGUUUGUCCGAGUCUCUAGUGUGGAUGGAGUUUAUAUAGGGUCUUUUUCUUGAAUGAGAAUUGGUGUAUUUUUGGUUGGUGAUUAAGAAAUGUUAAAUAGUUUUGGCUAGUCUGUCGUAUAUGAAUGUAUGCCUUUCUUAAAAUUAUCGGUAAUCAAAAUGUUGUCUUGAAAUAUUAUCAAGCAAGGUAAACUGGUGCUGCUUCUAUUACAGGUUUGGUUGGUCUAUGUAAUGAUCAAGGCUUACUUUGGGACUUAA